UUCUGGCUCAGAACGAACGCUGGUAGCGUGGAUUAGGCAUGCAAGUCGAACGGGAUCCGGGAGGUAGCAAUACUUCCUGGUGAGAGUGGCGGAUUGGGGAGGAACACGUGAGCAACCUGCCUUGGAGUCGGGGAAAACCGUUGGAAACGACGGCUAAUACCGGAUGUGGCGCCCGGUGACAUCACCGGAGCGCUAAAGGGGGCCGCAAGGCUCUCGCUCCUAGAGGGGCUCGCGCACCAUCAGCUUGUUGGCGGGGUAACGGCCCACCAAGGCCUACGGUUAGCUGGUCUGAGAGGAUGACCAGCCCCACUGGGACUGAGAUACUGCCCAGACUCCUACGGGAGGCUGCAGUCGAGGAUCAUUUGCAAUGGGCGAAAGCCUGACAAUGCGACGCUGCGUGGAGGAAUGAAGGCCUUCGGGUUGUAAACUCCUGUCAUGGGGGAACAGGCGAGGAUACCUAAUACGUAUCUUAGUUGAGUGUACCCCAAGAGGAAUUGGCGGCUAACUCUGUGCCAGCCGCCGC
rnacentral:rRNA from 1 species